UAAUAUAAGUCGUUGUUCUAAACGUUUGAUCGACGUUUAAUAAACGUUUAUUAUAUUAUAAUAUAGUAAUAUAGCCAUUGGUCAGAAGACUCACAUAACAGCUUAAGUCAUGCGGUUUAAAUAGGCAUAAUUAAAACGAAAUAAAAUAAAUAAAAAAACAUAGGCAUUUGAAAGUAGACAUUCAAAAACGCAGAGUAUUACGAAAAAAAAGACGUUGAAACAAUUUCAACAAAUUGUGUAUUCUUGCCACCAGCAUAACAGGUUACGAAAUCAGACGAUCAGGAUACGAAUGUACAAGAUGAUGUUGCACAAAAACAGGUGCAUGAUAAACAAGCAGUAGAUGGUAUACUAGGAAAAUUUUUGAUAAUGCAUAAACCAGAGAAAUCAAUGAUCCAAAAUAUAUGUUUAUGAUUUUAUUAAUUUUAUCAGUAAUCUUUAACUUAACCUUAAUGUAAACUUUUAUUUUCUGCUAAUUAGAUUAAAUUUUAAAAAUAUUCGA